CCUACGGGUGGCAGCAGUGGGGGAUAUUGCACAAUGGGGGGAACCCUGAUGCAGCGACGCCGCGUGGGUGAAGAAGCACCUCGGCGCGUAAAGCCCUGUCAGCAGGGAAGAAAAUGACGGUACCUGAAGAAGAAGCCCCGGCUAACUACGUGCCAGCAGCCGCGGUAAUACGUAGGGGGCAAGCGUUAUCCGGAUUUACUGGGUGUAAGGGGGGCGGAGACGGCGCUGCAAGCCAGAAGUGAAAGCCCGGGGCCCAACCCCGGGACUGCUCUUGGAACUGCGUGGCUUGAGUGCAGGAGGGGCAGGCGGAAUUCCUGGUGUAGCGGUGAAAUGCGUAGAUAUCAGGAGGAACACCGGUGGCGAAGGCGGCCUGCUGGACUGCAACUGACGUUGAGGCCCGAAAGCGUGGGGAGCAAACAGGAUUAGAUACCCGUGUAGUC
rnacentral:rRNA from 1 species